AGACUCUUACUAUUGAUUAUGAUUAUCACUGGUGAUUUUGUUUUUGCAGGUCUACCACCCGAAUAUUGACGUGGAAGGAAAUGUGUGUCUGAACAUUCUUCGAGAGGACUGGAAACCUGUGCUUAAUAUCAACGCAAUAAUCUAUGGCUUAUAUCAUUUGUUCACGGAACCAAAUCCAGAUGAUCCCCUAAAUCAUGAAGCAGCUGAGCAGCUGAGAGACACACCAGGGGAUUUCGAGUACGACGUUAGGACGACAAUGGAAGGAGGAGGUAAAGGCAACAUAUACUAUGAUCGCUGCAUAUAGGAAUAUGCAGUUGAAUGUUGUUUGCUGAUGCUACAAACGGGAAGCUCACAAAGCAGGACACCAAGCCACUUUUUUGUUCUUUUGUUAUUUCAAGUUUGUACUUGAAAUUUGUUAGGGUAGUUCAUGUAAGAGACUGAAAUUGUAGACCCCUGCAUGCAUGAAUUUGUUUCCAAUUUUGUCACAA